GUAGUUAGCCGGGGCUUUCUUACAGGGUACCGUCACUUCUUCGUCCCCUGCGACAGAGGUUUACAAUCCGAAAACCUUCUUCCCUCACGCGGCGUUGCUGGGUCAGGCUUGCGCCCAUUGCCCAAUAUUCCCCACUGCUGCCUCCCGUAGGAGUCUGGACCGUGUCUCAGUUCCAGUGUGGCCGAUCAGCCUCUCAGCUCGGCUACCCAUCGUUGGCUAGGUGGGCCGUUACCCCGCCUACUACCUAAUGGGACGCGAACCCCUCCUUCUGCGGAUUGCUCCUUUGACCCCUGAGCCAUGCGACUCUGUGGUCUUAUGCGGUAUUAGCACUUGUUUCCAGGUGUUAUCCCCCUCAAAAGGGCAGGUUGUUCACGCGUUACUCACCCGUUCGCCACUAGCUAUAAAUCCGAAAACCUAUAGCCCGUUCGACUUGCAUGUGUUAGGCACGCCGCCAGCGUUCGUCCUGAGCCAGAAUCGAACCCUGA
rnacentral:rRNA from 1 species